CCCCUAGAUGUUCUGGGCCGCACGCGCGCUACACUGAACAGUUCAACAAGUCUUAACCUUGGCCGAUAGGUCUGGGUAAUCUUUGAACGCUGUUCGUGAUUGGGAUAGACCUUUGCAAUUAUGGGUCUUCAACGAGGAAGUCCUAGUAAACGCAAGUCAUCAGCUUGCAUUGAUUACGUCCCUGCCCUUUGUACACACCGCCCGUCGCACCUACCGAUUGAAUGGUCCGGUGAAAUCUCGGGACGGCGGCUUGGUCGCUUGCGUCCGACUGCUGAAACUUGAUUAAACCAUAUCAUUUAGAGGAAGGUGAANUCGUAACA
rnacentral:rRNA from 1 species